rnacentral:rRNA from 1 species
UACGAAGGGGGCUAGCGUUGCUCGGAAUUACUGGGCGUAAAGGGCGCGUAGGCGGGCUAUUAAGUCAGUGGUGAAAGCCCCAAGCUUAACUUGGGAAUUGCCAUUGAUACUGAUGGUCUUGAGUACACUUGAAGUGGGCGGAAUGUGUCAUGUAGCGGUGAAAUGCUUAGAUAUGACACAGAACACCGAUUGCGAAGGCAGCUCACUAAAUUGUAACUGACGCUGAGGCACGAAAGCGUGGGGAUCAAACAGG